GACAGAGGGUGCAAACGUUGUUCGGAAUUACUGGGCGUAAAGCGUGUGUAGGCGGCUACGUAAGUCGGAUGUGAAAGCCCCGGGCUCAACCCGGGAAGUGCACUCGAUACUGCGUAGCUUGAGUCUCGGAGAGGUUGGUGGAAUUCUCGGUGUAGAGGUGAAAUUCGUAGAUAUCGAGAGGAACACCGGUGGCGAAGGCGGGUCUCUGGGCAUCUCCUGACGCUGAGGCGCGAAAGCGUGGGGAGCAAACGGG
rnacentral:rRNA from 1 species